CAUGGAUUGACAAUAGAUUCGGGUGCGGGAUCAGGGAAGCGUCCAUUUCAAAAUGUAAACAAGUGCAAAUGGGUAGGGAGUGGCAUUGCGAGUGAAAGUCCAAAGUGUGUUCAAAGCAGGAGCGACGCCUAAUUUGAUGGGUUCUGCAACUAAGCACCCACUAUGCAGUCAUCUGGAUGUGCCUUUUGCCAGCCUCAGCCAACUGGUCCUGGUCGAGUCAUCUAUGAAUAUGUAUGCUAACACUACAUGACAUUCUCGAAUCAGACCAUGCUACAAGGAUCGAUUUCUUGCUGCUUUGCCAGCACCUCGUCGAGCAAGUGCUGACUUCAGUCGGCCUGUUUUCACAGCCACUGCAUUCUACUUGUGUGUAAAAAGACACAAGG